GGUCGGCUAGCUCAACAGGUUAGAGCGUCUCGGUAAUAGUUAUAUCGUAAAUGCGACAGCGCACUGCCGUAGCAUAUGGGAAGGUUUUGGGUUCAAGUCCCUUGCUGGCCA